AUGCCAUGGUGUGGACACUUAACCAGCAUUCCUUAGAAUCUCUCCCACGCCUCUUGCAAUGUUUCAGCUGGUUUCUGCCUAAUGCUCAAUAUCUCAUCAACUUGCUU
rfam:Nicotiana attenuata strain TT chromosome 1, whole genome shotgun sequence.